GCAAAAAUAAGUUUCCUGUUUUCACUACUUUAAACCUUUAGUAUUUAAACCGGCUGUAUCCGGCCCGAAUAGUCUACACAUUUUAUGCUCAAACUGGCCAGAACCAGCAUCUCACACCUACCCUGCAAUGUCAUUCUAAAAAUAAGCAAUUACAUCUUUCCUAUCUUGAAGCUACAAAAUAAUAUC